CGAACGGGUGAGUAACGCGUAGGAACCUGUCACCGGAUGGGGGAUACCACGGGGAAACCCGUGCUAAUACCGCAUGAGAUGGGAGACCAUGAAAGCAGCAAUGCGCUGGGUGAGGGGCCUGCGUCCGAUUAGCUUGUUGGUGGGGUAAAGGCCUACCAAGGCGACGAUCGGUAGCUGGUCUGAGAGGAUGGUCAGCCACACUGGGACUGAGACACGGCCCAG
rnacentral:rRNA from 1 species